rnacentral:rRNA from 1 species
UACGUAGGGUGCGAGCGUUAAUCGGAAUUACUGGGCGUAAAGCGUGCGCAGGCGGUUUUGUAAGCCGGAUGUGAAAUCCCCGGGCUUAACCUGGGAAUGGCAUUCGGGACUGCAAGGCUGGAGUGCGGCAGAGGAGACUGGAAUUCCGUGGUGUAGCAGUGAAAUGCGUAGAUAUCAGGAGGAACACCGAUGGCGAAGGCAGGUCUCUGGGCUGACACUGACGCUCAUGCACGAAAGCGUGGGGAGCAAACAGG